rnacentral:lncRNA from 10 species
UUUUAAUACAUACGGAAUACUUUUACUAGAACAUUCUGGCUUCAAGCAGCAAAGCAUACUUAUUUCAUGCAAUAGGGACAGAGGGUCACUCCUGCUGAUAUCUUCUUUUGCAUCAUCUCACAUCUACCUACCUACUGGUUGGAUGAUCCUAAGCUAAUUACCUCACUCCUCUAAACUGCAGCUGUCACAUAAGCAGGUAUUCUUGGGCUCUCUCUCCUUAGCUCUUUCUUGUGGUCCAGCCAGAAUCGUGCCAGGUGUGGAAACUGGAAGUCUAGAAAGAAAAGUUUCCCACUGCUCUGAUGCAGGUCCUCCUCCUGGGUGAGGAAAACAACAACAUCCUUGAACCUAGGGCAGCACCUUGGUGUCCAUCUCCUCUUGCCUGUGCCUGGUCUUGGGAUAUUGGUGCUGGGCCUUCAUUUUAUUGGGUGCACCUUUGAGAGUAGAUGAAGAGCUACCAAAUUAUAAAUCCCUGAUUGGGUGUCUCUCUUAAUAAUGAACAGCUUAGGAACCCUUCUACCUUGUUUCUGGGGCCAAGGCUACUCUUCUCACAGGAGUUUCCAGAGUUAUGUUUCAUUCUUAUAAAAUUAUGCUUCAGAAGCCAUAAUACAUGGGUGCCCACUGGUGAGGAUUUCUUAAGAUAAAGAUCCUGGGCUCUACCCCUUGAGACUGAAUCAGUAGGUCUGGGGUAAGGCCCAGAAUUUAUACUUUAAAAAAGUAACACACCAACUUUCAGUUCCAGUCUGGCAUGUAAGAAGCUUGGAAGUUGUCACUCAGCCCUAACAACAAGUAAAAAGCUGAAUAAACCAGGCACAGCGACUCUCAUCUGUAAUCCCAGCACUUGGGGAGGUUGAGGCGGUUCCAAUCACUUGAGCCCAGGAGUUCAAGACAAGCCUGGGAAACAUGGUGAAACCCCAUCUCUACAAAAAAAUACAAAAAUUAGCCUGGUAUGGUGGCGCACACCUGUAGUCACAGCAACUUCGGAGGCUGAAGUGGAAGGAUCACUUGAGCCCAGGAGUUGGAAGUUACAGUGAGCCAUGAUAGUGCCACUGCACUCCAGCCUGGGUGAGAGGGUAAGACUCUGCAACAACUCUUUUUAGAUCUCUAAGAGAGGUUAGAUUAUAGGGCAAACUGCUGUCCCCCAAAUUGGAGAGACCAACAGGGGAAUACAGAGAAUCACAACUCUGUGAGCAGGAAACCAUGAGUAGUAACCUCUGCAGCAACCGGUGCCCAUGUAGGAAAAUCUUAACUGUAAUUGAUGAAUUGCUGGAGGCUGAGUGUGGGCAAGUCAAAAACUCCAGGGGGACUCAGUCAUUAGGAGACCCCCACAUUUUUGUGUUUUACCUUUAGAAGCUCUACCACACCCCCACAGUGAAUAUUGGAGAAAAAUCCUGUCAUGCUUCUGCCAGGGGAAGGGGAAAAGAACUAUUUAAAAAUACACCAGAACACUCUGUUCUUCUGAACGUGGUCUGCUCUUAGGAGGAACUGCUUAGCCAGAGCCUAAACUUCAGGGGUUUUACCAACGCCUAACUGACCUGGAAGAAGGGAAAUACCCAAUUCUAAGUAAACUAGGAAUAGAGGGAAAUUUCCUCAACUUGAUAAAGAAUAUCUGAAAAAAACAAAAACAAAAACAAAAAAAACCCAAACACCCUACAGUUAACAUCAUACUUAAUGAUGAGAAACUUGAAGCUUUCCCAUAAAACCAGGAGCAAGGCAAAAUGUUUCCUCUCUCCACUGCUUCUGAAGAGCAGAUGAAAAAUUCUAGAUAAUACAGCAAGAAAGAAAAAAGAAAUAAAAGCUACAGAUUGGGAGGGAAAUAACAAAACUGUCUUUGUUUGCAGAUGACAUGAUUGUCUAUGAAGAAAACCUGAAAAAAAUUGGCAGAAAAGUCUCCUGGAGCUAAUAAGUAAUUAUAGGAAGGUUGAGGAAUACUAGGUUAAUAUACAAAAGUCAAUUGUUCUCCAAUAUACCAGUGUCUUAGUCUGUUUUAUGCUUCUACAACAGAAUACCCAAGACUAGGUAAUUUAUAAAGAACAGAAAUUUAUUUCUUACAGUUCUGGAGGCUGAGAAGUCCAAGGUUGAGGGGCUUACAUCUGGUGAGGUCCUUCAUGUUGUGUCAUCCCACGGUUGAAGGCAGAAGGGCAAGAGAGCAUGUAUAUAGAAGGAAAAGGAAGGAGAGGGCAGGGGGGAGGGAAGGAAGAGGAGGUGGGAGGGAAGGAGGGAGGCGGAGGGAAAGGGAGGGGAGGGGAGCCAAAUUCAUUGUUUUAUUAGGAACCCUAACCCACAAGAAGCAUGAAUCCAUUCAUUAGAACAGAGCCCUUCAUGUCCUAAUCACCUCUUAUAGAUCCCACCUCUCAGCACUGUUGCAAUGGGGAUUAAAUUUCUCUUCAUAAUAUAUUCAAUCCAUGACAACCAGCAAUGAACAAAUGAAAUUUGAAAUAAAAAAAAGUAUUUCCCCAAAAUAAAAUAUGUAUAAAUCUACCAAAAUAAAUACAAGAUCCAUGUGAGAAACACUGAAAAACUUUAAUGAAAGAUAUCAAAGAGGAACUAAACAAAUGGAAAAAUACUACGUGUUCGUGGAUGGGAAGAUUCAAUGUUGUCAAGAUGUCAGCUGUUGCCAACUUGAUCUAUAGAUUCAGUGUAAUCAAAAUUAAAAUCCCAGCGAGCCAUUUUGUGGAGAUUAACAGGUUGAUUCUAAAGUUCAUCUGCAGAGACAAAAGACCCAGAAGUGCCAACACAACAUUGAAGAAGAAUAAAGUUGGAGGACUGACACUAUCUGACUUCAAUAGUUAAUAUAAAGCUAUAGUCAUCUAGACAGUGUGGUAUUGGUAAAAGAAUAGACAAAUAGAUCAGUGGAACAGAAUAGAGAGCUCAGAGAUAAACCCUGCAGAUAGUGUAUGUCAAAGGAGCAAAGGCAAUACAAUGGAACAAAGAGUCUUCAACAAAUGAUCCCAGAACAACUGGACAUCACAUACACACAAAAAAUGAGUAAGACACGACCCUUACUUUCUUCACAGAAAUUAACUCAAAAUGGAUCGCAGACCUAAAUGUAAAAUGUAAAACUGUAACACUCCUAGAAUGUAAUGAGACAGGAGAAAAUCUAGAUGAGUAUGGGUAUAGUGAUGACUCUUUAGAUACAACACCAAAGACAUAAUCCAUGAAAGAAAUAAUUGAUAAACCAGACUUCACUAAAAUUAAAAAACUUCUGCUUUACAAAAGACAAUGUCAAGAUAAUGAGAAGAUAAUCCAAAGACUGGGAGAAAAUAUUUGCAAAAGACACUUCUGAUAAUGGACUGUUUUCCAAAAUACAAAAAAAACAAAAAACAAAAAACAAAAGAAAACCUCUUAAAACUCAGCAAUAAGAAAACAAACAACCCAAUUAAAAAAAUGGGCCAAAGAUCUUAACAGACACCUUACUAAAGAAGAUAUGCACAUGGCAAAUAAGCAUAUGAAGAGAUGUUCCAUAUCAUAUGUCAUCAGGGCAAUGCAAAUUAAAGCAACAAUGAAGUACCACUACAUACAUAUUAGACUGGUCCAAAUCUGGAACACUGACAACACCAAUUGGUGGUAAGGAUGUGGAGCAACAGCAACUCUCAUUCAUUGCUGGUGGGAAUGCAAAUUAUACAGCCACUUUGGAAGAUAGUUUUGUAGUUUCUUACAAAAUAAACAUUCUCUUACUAUAUAAUCCAGCAAUCAUGCUCUUUUGGUAUUAUGUCUACACAUAAACACGCAUAUGGAUGUUUAUGGCAGCUUUAUUCAAAAUUGCUAACACUUGGAAGCAACUGAGAUGUCCUUCGGUAGGUGAAUGGAUAAAUAAACUGUGGUACAUCCAGACAAGGGAAUAUUAUUCAGCACUAAAAAGAAAUGAGCUAUCACAUCAUGAAAAGACAUGGAGGAAACUUACAUGUAUAUUAUUAAGCGAAAGAAGCCAGUCUGAAAAGGCUACAUACUGUAGGGUUCCAAGUAUCUGAGAUCCCGAAAAAGGUAGAACUACUGAGACAGUAAAAUGAUCAGUGGUUGCCAGGGCUUAAGAGGAAAAGGGAGAUGAAUAGGUGGAGCACAGAGGAUUUUUAGAGCAGUAAAACUAUUCUAUAUGAUACUAUAAUGGUGGAUACAGGUCAUUAUGAAUUUGUUCAGACUCAGAGAAUGUACAACACAAAGUGAACCCUAAUGCAAACUAUAGUCUUUGGGUGAUAAUACUGUGUCAAUAUAGUUUCGUCAAUUGUAACAAAUGUACCACUGUGGUGAAGAUGUUAAAAUUGGGGGAUGUUGAAAAUGCCUGUGUCAGCACUGGGAAUAUAUGAGAAAUCUCUACCUUCUGCUCAGUUUUGUUGCAAACCUAAAACUGCUCUAAAAAAAUAAAAUCUACUUUUUUAAAAAAAGCAGCACACCUGAUUUUAUAACUAACCAGGUUGGGAAGGGCAAACAUAUAAAUCUUCUGGAUAGUCCUCUUUGUUUAACUUCACCUUUCUAAAGAGCAGCAGCUGGGUAGGUGUUGGCUGCUUUUCCUGCUAUGUAAAUGACAGGCCCUGGCCAGGAAUGCUUAACAGACAGGUGUGUCCCAGCCUCUCCCCUACUUUUACCCGUCAGUUGUUUUUAUUCCUAGGCUAGGUCUAAGGUGGAAAGCUUUUCCUAAGUAGGGGGUUGUGUUGGUCUUAAGGCUUAUCUAACUUGGACAUAGCCUCUUUAAGGAAAAAAAAAUCAAUGUAUGAAUAUAAAAUUAAGUACAAAGGCCCUCAGAAGAGGUCUGUAAAAAUGAGGAUUCUAAAGCUUAAGCUUUAUUACUUUCACAGCAGAUUUACCUCUGUACAACUUUCUCAUUUUGGAGCAAAUCAAAAGACUCUGUUUUACAAAUUGUCUAUGUUUUCAAUAUAUAUUAGUUAAACUGAAUUUUUGAAAUAAAAAGAAGAAAAAACCCCCAUAGAAAUGGAUCAUUUUGGCUGAGAACUGCAAAAACUCUGGGCACAAACACGUUAUUCACCCUCUCUUGAGAGACUUAGCCAUACUUUAGCAUGGCUUUUAGCAGCCUGAGCCUUGUCUCUGGGAAGACUCAAACACUUUUUGAGUUCCUCUCCGGAAGAGUUCAGUCCCUAACCUCCCUUUCUUGCAGCAUUUACUAAAAAGGGCUGACAAUUGUGAAUCUUUCCUCUGUCCCUUCCAGAUGUGUAUGCAUCUCCUGCAACUCAGGAGUGUCUUUCUCAAGGACUUGAAAGCCAUUCCUUUGAAAUAUAAUCCUCAGGAAGGUUAGGGCCUCUGUCUCAGUCUCUGUGGGAGGAUAGCAGCCUAACUUCAAUAACUGCCAGCAAGCAUUCACAGUUGGCUUAACUGUAUUUGCAUUGACCAACCUUUUGUAAUUUUUCACUUCCCUGAUUCCACUGAGCCUCCGCUCACGCCUCUCCUACUCUCUCAUUCUCCUUUAAAAACACCCAGUCACCUCUGUGCAAAUCUGAAUGGAGCUCAGCCCUUUCCCUUGUUGUCG